rnacentral:rRNA from 1 species
GACGAACCGUGCGAACGUUGUUCGGAAUCACUGGGCUUAAAGGGCGCGUAGGCGGGUUCCCAAGUCCGGGGUGAAAUCUUUCGGCCCAACCGGAAAAGUGCCUUGGAUACUGGGAGUCUCGAGGGAGGUAGGGGCGGAUGGAACUUCCGGUGGAGCGGUGAAAUGCGUUGAUAUCAGAAGGAACGCCGGUGGCGAAAGCGACGGACUGGACCUCUUCUGACGCUGAGGCGCGAAAGCUAGGGGAGCAAACGGG